rnacentral:lncRNA from 1 species
AUGUCCUACAACUUCCUUCAACGGCAACCCACCGAGUCCCAGGCCAAGACGACCGUCACCAGCUCCCGACAGCAACCCAAAGCCGCGGCUGGAGCCCCCAGCCAGCAGCAGCAGCAGCAGNNNNNNAGCAGCAGAACCUCGCCCCUCGACACCGAGGCCGCGGCGGCGCCAGGCCACAGGCUCUCCCCGCCCCCCAGCGCCGCCGUCUCGGCCGUGACACAUGGCUCUCUCUCUGCCCCGAGCGCCGGCGACCCCCGGCCACCCGCGCGCCCAGCCGAGACGUGCGCCGUGGCGCACGGUACAAGCCCCCACCCCUGGCCGGUCCUGGCAGUGACUGCGAGGCGCGGGCCGCCGGUGCCACCCGCGGGCCGGGGCCGGCAAGCCGGCGGCAUGAGGGCGUUCCGCGAACUGCCCCAUGCCCGCCAGACCCCAAUCACCACCCAAGCCCGCCGCGCGGCUGCGGGACGGAACCGGCUCCUCUCCGCCCACUCCCGCGCCGCGGCGACGGCCACGACAGCACCAACUCCGCCGCCGCUCGCCGUCCGCGCGGGCCACGGGGCCGCCUCCUCCCUGGAGCGCCGCAGACAAAGCCCGAACAGCGGCAGCACAUGGAGGGCAGGAGGAAGUGACGGCGCGGGCCGCGGCCUACUCCUGAGCAGCCCCAGUCAACGUGCUCCCCUCUCCCUUGGAAUCCAUUUUCCAGAAAAGCCGGUUUCUCCCCGCACCGCCCUCCCCCAGCUCACUCCACAAUGUCACGGAGCUCCCUUCCCAGACCCGGGUCCCAGCGGUCGUUACCUCCCCGUUGGGCUGCGGCGGAGGAAUCCUGUCCGAGGAGAUCCGGUUGCGGGCAACGCGUGCUCGCUGCUCCCUGUGUCCGGCGCGAGUGGAGCUGUUGUAAAAUGGCGGCCGAAGCUCACGCCGCUGGCAGCAAACCCGAUCCAGUUCCACUCGCCUCCGAGCGCGCUCCCGGUGCGCGCGCGCCUCCGCGUGACACCCCCCUUCCCUUCCCUCCCCUCCCUCGCGCGUCCGCUUCUCUCACUCACUCUCUCAGCUCCUGCCCUCCUCCAGCUCCUCCUUCUCCUUCUCCCACCACCACCAGUCUCCGUCAGCCCUCUUCCCUAG